ACUGUCCAGAGUUGUAAGCUGGAGAGGUUUCAUCCGACGCGGUCCGGGCUCAAUUUCCUUGGAACAGGAGGUCAUGGAGGGUGAGAACCCCGUACAUGGCUUGGGUGCCGCAGUCCUAGUGAUGGUUCCUCUAAGAGUCGGGUUGUUUGGGAAUGCAGCUCAAAAUGGGUGGUAAAUUUCAUCUAAAGCUAAAUAUUGGCGAGAGACCGAUAGCAAACAAGUAGAGUGAUCGAAAGAUGAAAAGUACUUUGAAAAGAGAGUGAAACAGUACGUGAAAUUGUUGAAAGGGAAGCGUUUGGCAUCAGCCCAUGAUGGUCAUCGAACAUCCUGGCUUCUCUGCCUGGUGCACUCGAUGGCCAUUGGGCCAGCGUCGGCUCUGCCAGCUGGAGAAAGGCCUUGGACAAGUGGCUCCUUUUCGGGAGCGUUGUAGCCCAUGGCGUCAUGCAGCUUGGUGGGGCCGAGGUCCGCGGGUUUUCCUAGGACGCUGGCGUAAUGGUUCCAAGCGACCCGUCUUGAAACACGGACCAAGGAGUCUAACAUCUAUGCGAGUGUUUGGGUGUCAAGCCCGACCGCGC
rnacentral:rRNA from 1 species